GGAGAGGUGGCAGAGUGGUCGAUUGCGUCUGACUUGAAAUCAGAUGAUGCAGCAAUGUAUCCGGAGGUUCGAAUCCUCUCCUCUCCG
rnacentral:tRNA from 2 species